AGUUAACAAAAGAAAAAGAAUGAAACAAUAAAAAGAUGGGAGAGAAAAAACGUGGGUGACGUCAAAAAGAAAGGGAAAUUUCUUUUGGGAAAAUAAAAUAAUAAAAGAAAAAAAAAUAUAAACCUUUUGAUAAUGAUAUUAUUAAUUUUCUUUUUUCUUUUUUAAGAAAAACAUCAGAAAUCUCAAUCAUAUCUAACUAACCUCAAUUUCCUUAUAUCUUAUCAGAUUACCCAAAAAUUGCAUUUUACCCAACC
rnacentral:lncRNA from 1 species